rnacentral:rRNA from 1 species
UGGGGAAUUUUGACAAUGGGCGAAAGCCUGAUCCAGCAAUGCCGCGUGUGUGAAGAAGGCCUUGCGGGUUGUAAAGCACUUUUUGUCCGGAAAGAAAUCCUUGGCUCUAAGUACAGUCGGGGGAUGACGGUACCGGAAGAAUAAGCACCGGCUAACUACGUGCCAGCAGCCGCGGUAAUACGUAGGGUGCAAGCGUUAAUCGGAAUUACUGGGCGUAAAGCGUGCGCAGGCGGUUUGCUAAGACCGAUGUGAAAUCCCCGGGUCUCAACCUGGGAACUGCAUUGGUGACUGGCAGGCUAGAGUAUGGCAGAGGGGGGUAGAAUUCCGACGUGUAGCAGUGAAAUGCAGUAGAGAUGUGGAGGAAUACCGAUGGCGAAGGCAGCCCCCUGGGCCAAAUACUGACGCUCAUGCACGAAAGCGUGGGGAGCAAACAGGAUUAGAUACCCU